rnacentral:rRNA from 1 species
GUAGUUAGCCGACUCUUAUUCCUGGCCUACUGUCCUUCCUCUUCAGCCAGAAAAGCACUUUACAACCCGAAGGCCUUCGUCGUGCACGCGGCGUUGCUGCAUCAGGCUUUCGCCCAUUGUGCAAUAUUCCUUA